rnacentral:rRNA from 1 species
UACAGAGGGUGCGAGCGUUGUCCGGAAUCACUGGGCGUAAAGGGCGCGUAGGUGGCGCUCCAAGUCUGUGGUGAAAGCUCGACGCUCAACGUCGAGUCGGCCAUAGAGACUGGAGGGCUCGAGCACUGUAGGGGCAGAUGGAAUUCCGGGUGUAGCGGUGGAAUGCGUAGAGAUCCGGAAGAACACCGGUGGCGAAGGCGGUCUGCUGGGCAGUUGCUGACACUGAGGCGCGGACAGCG